AGAGAACUUAGCAGAGAUGCUUUGGUGCCUUCGGGAACUCUGAGACAGGUGCUGCAUGGCUGUCGUCAGCUCGUGUUGUGAAAUGUUGGGUUAAGUCCCGCAACGAGCGCAACCCUUAUCCUUUGUUGCCAGCGGUUCAGCCGGGAACUCAAAGGAGACUGCCGGUGAUAAACCGGAGGAAGGUGGGGAUGACGUCAAGUCAUCAUGGCCCUUACGGCCAGGGCUACACACGUGCUACAAUGGCGCAUACAAAGAGAAGCGACCUCGCGAGAGCAAGCGGACCUCAUAAAGUGCGUCGUAGUCCGGAUUGGAGUCUGCAACUCGACUCCAUGAAGUCGGAAUCGCUAGUAAUCGUAGAUCAGAAUGCUACGGUGAAUACGUUCCCGGGCCUUGUACACACCGCCCGUCACACCAUGGGAGUGGGUUGCAAAAGAAGUAGGUAGCUUAACCUUCGGGAGGGCGCUUACCACUUUGUGAUUCAUGACUGGGGUGAAGUCGUAACAAGGUAGGCGUAGCGAG
rnacentral:rRNA from 1 species